UACGAAGGGGGCUAGCGUUGCUCGGAAUCACUGGGCGUAAAGCGCACGUAGGCGGAUUUUUAAGUCAGGGGUGAAAUCCCGAGGCUCAACCUCGGAACUGCCUUUGAUACUGGAGAUCUUGAGUCCGGAAGAGGUAAGUGGAACUGCGAGUGUAGAGGUGAAAUUCGUAGAUAUUCGCAAGAACACCAGUGGCGAAGGCGGCUUACUGGUCCGGAACUGACGCUGAGGUGCGAAAGCGUGGGGAGCAAACAGG
rnacentral:rRNA from 1 species